AGAGUUUGAUCCUGGCUCAGAUUGAACGCUGGCGGGAUGCUUUACACAUGCAAGUCGAACGGCAGCACGGGAGCUUGCUCCUGGUGGCGAGUGGCGAACGGGUGAGUGACGCGUCGGAACGUACCGAGUAAUGGGGGAUAACGCAGCGAAAGUUGKGCUAAUACCGCAUACGCCCUGAGGGGGAAAGUGGGGGAUCGCAAGACCUCACGUUAUUCGAGCGGCCGACGUCUGAUUAGCUUGUUGGUGGGGUAAUGGCCUACCAAGGCGACGAUCAGUAGCGGGUCUGAGAGGAUGAUCCGCCACACUGGAACUGAGACACGGUCCAGACUCCUACGGGAGGCAGCAGUGGGGAAUUUUGGACAAUGGGGGCAACCCUGAUCCAGCCAUUCCGCGUGAGUGAAGAAGGCCUUCGGGUUGUAAAGCUCUUUCAGCCGGAACGAAACGGUAUGUCUUAAUACGAUGUGCUAAUGACGGUACCGGCAGAAGAAGCACCGGCUAACUACGUGCCAGCAGCCGCGGUAAUAC
rnacentral:rRNA from 1 species